CCUACGGGAGGCAGCAGUGAGGAAUAUUGGUCAAUGGUCGGGAGACUGAACCAGCCAAGCCGCGUGAGGGAUGAAGGUACAGAGUAUCGUAAACCUCUUUUGUCAGGGAACAAAGGCGGGGACGUGUCCCCGGAUGAGUGUACCUGAAGAAAAAGCAUCGGCUAACUCCGUGCCAGCAGCCGCGGUAAUACGGAGGAUGCGAGCGUUAUCCGGAUUUAUUGGGUUUAAAGGGUGCGCAGGCGGUCUGUUAGGUCAGCGGUAAAAGCCAGGGGUUCAACCCCGGCCCGCCGUUGAAACUGGCAGUCUCGAGUUGGAGAGAAGUAUGCGGAAUGCGCGGUGUAGCGGUGAAAUGCAUAGAUAUCGCGCAGAACUCCGAUUGCGAAGGCAGCAUGCCGGCUCCACACUGACGCUGAGGCACGAAAGCGUGGGUAUCGAACAGGAUUAGAUACCCUUGUAGUC
rnacentral:rRNA from 1 species